rnacentral:pre_miRNA from 1 species
UAUAUGCUCCCUCCGUCUCAAAAUUCUUGUCUUAGAUUUGUCCAAAUACGGAUGUAUCAAGUCACGUUUUAGUGUUAGGUACAUCCGUAUCUAGACAAAUCUAAGACAAGAAUUUUGGGACGGAGGGAGUACACU